rnacentral:rRNA from 1 species
AUUGACCGCUGGCGGCAGGCCUAACUCCUGCACGUCGCGCGAGCGGCGGACGGGUGAGUAAUGUCUGGGAAACUGCCUGAUGGGGGGGGAUAACUACUAGAAACGGUAGCUAAUCCCGCAUACCAUCAGCUGUGCCCAGAUGGGAUUAGCUAGUAGGUGGGUUAAUGGUUCACCUUGGCGACGUUCCCUAGCUGGUCUGAGAGGAUGACCAGCCACACGGGACCUGAGACAGGGCCUUGACUGCUACGGCAGGCAGCAGUCGGGAGUAUUGCACAAUUGGUGCAAGCCUGAAGCAGCCAUGCCGCGUGUGUGAAGAAGGGCCUCGGGUUGUAAAGCACUUUCAGGGUGGAGGCGUUACCCGCAGAAGAAGUACCGCCUAACUCCGAGCAGGCAGCCGCGGUAAUUC